GUCCCCGUAGCUCAAUAGGAUAGAGCAGUCCUCUCCUAAAGGACAGAUGGCGGUUCGAUUCCGUCCGGGGACGCCA
rnacentral:tRNA from 1 species